rnacentral:rRNA from 1 species
ACUCCUACGGGAGGCAGCAGUGGGGAAUAUUGGACAAUGGGCGAAAGCCUGAUCCAGCCAUGCCGCGUGUGUGAAGAAGGUCUUCGGAUUGUAAAGCACUUUAAGUUGGGAGGAAGGGCAGUUACCUAAUACGUGAUUGUUUUGACGUUACCGACAGAAUAAGCACCGGCUAACUCUGUGCCAGCAGCCGCGGUAAUACAGAGGGUGCAAGCGUUAAUCGGAAUUACUGGGCGUAAAGCGCGCGUAGGUGGUUAGUUAAGUUGGAUGUGAAAUCCCCGGGGCUCAACCUGGGAACUGCAUUCAAAACUGACUGACUAGAGUAUGGUAGAGGGUGGUGGAAUUUCCUGUGUAGCGGUGAAAUGCGUAGAUAUAGGAAGGAACACCAGUGGCGAAGGCGACCACCUGGACUGAUACUGACACUGAGGUGCGAAAGCGUGGGGAGCAAACAGGAUUAGAUA